AUGAAGUCAGCGUUAGUGAAGUGUUCAGAGGUUUUUGUACAGCUGCUCGAUUUGUUUCUAUCACUGUGGUACACAUUCGGCACCGGCACAAGACUGGAAGUCGGCAGUGUGUCUGCUCCUAAAGUGAUCGUCCUGCCGCCGUCCAGUGAAGAGAUUUCCAGCAAGAAGACAGCAACAGUGAUGUGUGUGGCCAGCAAUGGUUUCCCUUCAGACUGGAGUCUGAGCUGGAAAGUGAAUGGGAAGAUGUCAGGAUCUCAGGAGAACAGAGCUGGAGUCCUACAGAAAGACGGCGGUCUGUACAGCUGGAGCAGCAGUCUGACUCUCACUGAACAAGAAUGGAUCAACAGAGACUCAGUGAUCUGUGAGAUCAGUCGGGAAGGUCAGACAGUCACUGGAGAAGUGAAGAAAGAUCUGUGUUCUGAGUAGAUCCUCUCUUCUUCUCAUCUCUUCUUCUCAUUCAUGUCUCACAUCAACAGUGGACAACUAUUCAUACAACACUCUGUCUCUCUGCUUUAUUCAUUCUGUCUGCUUCUAAUAAACGUCAAUAAAGAAAUAUUAAAUAUU